rnacentral:lncRNA from 13 species
GAGGCGCCAUUUGCUUCUUGUUACUCAUCUUUGCAAAUGUCUCUUGUCUUCCCAGGCUCUGCCCUGAUGUGUUAGCAUUAGCUGCCUGUGGAUUUCUGAGCCGCGCUGAAACGGGGACUCAGAGCGGCCAACCUAAGUUGGUCAAGCAGAGAUGGCAGUGUGAAGCAAAGGAGGAAGACAAAAAUAAGAUCAAGUGAAGUGUAUGAUACAAGAUCUUCGUGUGCACAUAAACAGUAUCAGGUGAAAAAAUGUCUGGUAAUGGCUUUUCAGGCUGCUGUUGGGAAUAAGGUGACCAGCUAACCUUCAUCCUGGGGAAACCACUGGCGGUGGCAGGGACUGGCUGCAGGAGAAGCACGUUUGUGGGUGAGGGUCGGGCUGGGCAGCUCUUUGCAGAGGAGAGUUCCUAUGGAAUAUAUGCAUCACAGCUACUUAAAAGUUGGACAGUAAGAGCAGAAAUGUCAACUAAAGGACAUUAUUCAGCACGAAACAUCUGCACCAAGUUGUGGAAUCAUGGCUGGUUGCAAAGCAGAGCUCCAGGCUAGAGGCCAAGUCACACAGGGUAUGAGCAGCUUCAGAAAUAACCACCAUUCAGGUUGUUUACUGCAAGGAGCUCUCGAAGGAAACCAGCAAAUUAAGGAAAGCCAAGUAAGUAACCAGCUUGUGUUAGUGCAGUUUUACUAUAUCCUUUCUAGGAUUGCUCAUGUUCCUGUGGGGUUGGGAAGAGGGUGUGGGGGCAGUUUAAUGUGGCUACUGGGAUGGAACCUGCAGCAGUGAUGAAGGGCACCACUGUGCCCAUGUCACAGUGAAAGAGCAUUUUGUGAGGUUUGCACAGGAAUUUUGCGCUGUCAAUGAACAUUCACUCAGCUACAGCUGGAACUGGAAGUGACCCAGACUUUCAUAGGCCAUGGCAAAUUGCUUGGAGAUUUCAAUGCAUGUGACCAUGUAAUUAUAUCAUACAUAUCUUCUAAAUCACUGGUUUUGUGGUCCCAGAAUGGUUACCAGAGACUAAAGGGCAGCAGUGUCUUCAUCUCAGGGUUGAUAUGAGGUAACAAGGGACAUGAGGUCUCUAAUUCAAAUUAGCAUGUGGGUCAAUGUCUCUGAACUUGAAGGUAGAAUUUUUCUCAUUUACUUUCGUGCCUUAGUUGGCCAGGGUAUUUCUUCCAGUAGCUACUCUGCUUCUGCGAUUUUCACCAAAUUUACCACGGAAACAAACCCUGACACUUGAGUCUGAGUCAGAUUGUGGUUCUGCCAGACAUGGAGUUUAUGAAUGUACCUAACGACUCAGUUUUCUGCAGUUUUUGAGCAGCGUACAAUCACAAAUAAAAGAGAUGUUUACAGCAUUGUUAUGGUUAUUGUCAAACACAGGAAAUGUUUGCAAACAUGUCUUAAAAGGUCAAGGAGGGUGCCUGGACCUACCCUGUGGGUGGGCUGUGUCUGUCUGUAAUGACUACGCAAGAAGGCAGGUUUGUACUUAUCUUCUUUGGAUGCUGUGGGAACCAUUGGUUGCUGGACUGGCUGCAGAGAAUUAAAUCCGGUGUGCAAUGGGAUGAUCCUACAUGCUUUAUGUUAGAUUUUAUAUAUCCAGUUAUACGCUAAAAUUCAUUCAAAAAGAUGCUGGAUAGGACAGGAUUGGAAUCUCUGCUGUGUGCACUUACACCAUUGCCUGCUUGGAGAUUUUCCUUUGCUUUAGUGUGUCCACUUGGGAAUAUCUCUUGUGCCUUAUCCUCCACCUCCACAGGGCAAAAGAUUUCUUUUAGUUUUCUGUUUGCAUAAGACUUCAGGAAAAGGGACAUUGCUCCAGUUAGAAGAGCCCUUAGUUUUCCCAAGGGUAAGGGUGAUGUUAUUGCUGGGGGUUACAGUAAUACUAGACAGGUAUAAAACUCACCUCAGGGAAGGCAAAUUAUGCAAAAGUGACUUAGAUACAGCUACAGCUUCGAGCUGUUCACACUGAGACAGUGUGAACACUUGUCUUCCACCUGCUUCUGUGGGACAUGCACGAGGCAGAAUCUGACUUUACAAGUUCUUAGCAUCCUUGGUAAUGUCAUUCCUUUGAUAAGGCACAAUAUUAUAUACCUUUCUGCAUUUCACAUGUCAUUAGAACUUUGAUCAUGAAAAGUCAUAAAUAUAAAUAAAGUAUUAUACUAUCCCAGCAAGAUGCAAAAGCAUCUGUUUAGUCCCUGAAAGUGCUCACAUAACAAACAGUGCUGUGAAAUCAUUGUUGGCAAUGCCUGUGUUAUUCUUGCUCCUGAUAAAUGCACUAUUGAAAUAAACCAGUUCUCCCAGCAUUAAUGAUCAUUUGAUUAAAGAAAACUUUCUAGUUAACAUUUUGUAACAAUGUAAUAAGUAACUUUCAAUUAAAUUUUUCUAUAUGUGGGGAAAAUGUGUAAUGAAUAAAUCAGUAAAGACUACAUAAUGGAAGCCUAUUAGCAGGGUGAAUAUAUUCUUGUAACUCAAAUUUCUAUACCACUUUAGUAUUAUCUUCUAUCAGAAGAGAAGGUACAAUUACCAAUUUUAUCUUAUCUUAGACUUAUUAUUAAAGAGUAGUAAAGGAAACUUCAUUCCAGAAGCUAUAAUGUGAUUUUUGAUUAAUGGUGGGAUUUUUAUGUGACAAGAAUAUUUCUCCUAGGCAAAGUAGGCACUUGUAUCUUUGCCUGAACUGACUUGUUUCUGGCAGGCUUUUCACUGACAGAAAGUUUUGCUUCUCUAUAGAUAUAUGUAUUUUUCUGUAUGUAUAACAGAUUUAGGUGUACAGAAUCUAACACGAUCUAAACUUAAUCUAUGCUACAUGAAAGGACUUAAGCCUUUACUUCACAUUUUAAUCCAUUUAACAAGACUCACUAAGCAGUAAACACCUUCCACUUUAUCUUAUGAAAUGUCAAAGCUGUAAAGUGAAAGGUUACAAAUAUGAGCAAAAUUAAUCAUCACUUGAAGUGUUGCAAGUAGGUCUCACACUUGUAGGUAGGUGCAAUAGUUAUUGUUACUGAAAGCUCCAUGUAAAUAAUGAUGGCCAAUGAGAUGUCCAAGAAAUUAUUUGAAAUACAUGGAAAAGGGUAUCCAUGC